rnacentral:piRNA from 1 species
UGAGCUUGGUGUGACUAGAUCUGAGCUU